rnacentral:rRNA from 1 species
UACGUAGGGGGCAAGCGUUGUCCGGAUUUAUUGGGCGUAAAGAGCUCGUAGGCGGCUUGGCAAGUCGGGUGUGAAAACUCCAGGCUCAACCUGGAGAUGCCACUCGAGACUGCUAUGGCUAGAGUCCGGUAGGGGACCACGGAAUUCCUGGUGUGGCGGUGAAAUGCGCAGAUAUCAGGAGGAACACCGGUGGCGAAGGCGGUGGUCUGGGCCGGCACUGACGCUGAGGAGCGAAAGCGUGGGGAGCAAACAGG